UGGGGCGUGGCCAAGCGGUAAGGCACGAGACUUUGGCUCUCGCAUACGGAGGUUCGAAUCCUCCCGCCCCAGCCA
rnacentral:tRNA from 2 species